rnacentral:misc_RNA from 1 species
UACGGAGGGUGCGAGCGUUAAUCGGAAUUACUGGGCGUAAAGCGUGCGCAGGCGGUGCUGUAAGACAGGCGUGAAAUCCCCGGACUCAACCUGGGAAUUGCGCUUGUGACUGCAGUGCUGGAGUGCGGCAGAGGGGGAUGGAAUUCCGUGUGUAGCAGUGAAAUGCGUAGAUAUGCGGAGGAACACCGAUGGCGAAGGCAAUCCCCUGGGCCUGCACUGACGCUGAGGCGCGAAAGCGUGGGGAGCAAACAGG